UGAUGCUCUCGGAGUCUGGGAAAUGGAUGUUCCUAGAGUAAUAAAAUCUUUUGAACUCAAUUAUUUCAGUUUGAUAGCUAGCUGUGCCUAGGGGUUCUCAUAUAUUAUAUUCUCUUCCAAAUAAAAUGAUUUUAGAACAGUUUCAACCUUUGGGAAUGGUCUUUGUGAUAAUACAAUAAUACCACUUGGCUAUAAGAUGCACUUCACUGUUGGGCGCAGUAUGUAGGGUAAGCUAUAGUUAUUUCGUAUACUUCACUGGUAAUUCCUAUUCCUUGCAAUCUGUGGCUCCUAUUUUUAAAAUUGUCUAUGACUACAUCAGACAAAUUUACAAAACUGGGAAUUUGGAAGGUUCAGUUUUAGUACAACUUACGUGCACUACAUUUCUUACAGAUCAUAGCAAUCUAUUUACUGAAGUCUGUUCCAGCAGAUUUGAGGUACACAUAAGCAGGCUGGGAAAGGUAGAAUGGCUGUGUUCUAAAAAAAGAGAAGGUUGAAUGGCGCAGUUGUCCCAGAAAUAAAGAGUUCGAGGUUUUUCGGUACUAUUUCUUAUACAAAAUGUUCAGAGCCGACAAAAACAGGGCUAUCCAUCUUUAGGAGAAAAAAACUGUUUCAUGAUUGGCUCUACAUGCAUGUAUACUUUUACCGGGAUAUUCUUAUUUUGACUAGAAAUUCAAUGGAUCUGUGUGUCUUAAUUUUUAA